GUGCUGUUCCAGGGCAGCACCCCUUCCUAUCAUUCCCUUUGUUGUAGAUAGAAGUUUAGCCACAGCUACAUUGCAACAAAUCAUCAGGUUCCUUACUAAUAGACAUCUUUAUAAUAUUUGACUUUUUUUACUUAUCUAUUCUUGUCAUGUGUACUUUAUGACAAAAUAAUAUUUCUGCUUGUAUGCUGAUAUUUCAGACUGUGAAAUAUUCCAAGAACAGGAAUACAACAAAUGUGUAAUCAUUGUGUGUGUGUGUGUG